rnacentral:rRNA from 1 species
ACGGUCCUAAGGUAGCGAAAUUCCUUGUCAGGUAAGUUCUGACCCGCACGAAUGGCGUAAUGAUUUGGGCACUGUCUCAACAGCCCGCCCGGCGAAAUUGUAGUACUGGUGAAGAUGCCAGUUACCCGCAACUAGACGGAAAGACCCCAUGGAGCUUUACUGUAGCCUAAUACUGAAGAUCGGUAAUGCAUGUACAGGAUAGGUGGGAGCCAGCGAAACCCGGGCGUCAGCUCGGAUGGAGGCAACCUUGGAAUACCACCCUUGUAUUGCUGGUUUUCUAACCUGCGGCCAUGAAUCUGGUCGGGGGACACUGUUAGGUGGGCAGUUUGACUGGGGCGGUCGCCUCCAAAAGCGUAACGGAGGCGCUCAAAGGUUGGCUCAGCACGGACGGAAAUCGUGCAUAGAGUGCAAACGCAUAAGCCAACUUGACUGCGAGACCGACGGGUCGAGCAGGUACGAAAGUAGGAGUUAGUGAUCCGGUGGUAUGUGAGUGGAAAUGCCAUCGCUCAACGGAUAAAAGCUACCCUGGGGAUAACAGGCUGAUCUCCCCCAAGCGUCCACAGCGACGGGGAGGUUUGGCACCUCGAUGUCGGCUCGUCACAUCCUGGGGCUGUAUUCGGUCCCAAGGGUUCGGCUGUUCGCCGAUUAAAGUGGCACGCGAGCUGGGUUCAGAACGUCGUGAGACAGUUCGGUCCCUAUCUGUUGCGGGCGCAGGAGAUUUGAAGGGAGCUGUCCUUAGUACGAGAGGACCGGGAUGGACAGACCUCUGGUGCACCAGUUGUCGUGCCAACGGCACAGCUGGGUAGCUACGUCUGGACGAGAUAAACGCUGAAAGCAUCUAAGUGUGAAACUCCCCCUAAGAUAAGAUCUCCCAUCCAUUAGGAGUAAGGGACGACAGAGACUAUGUCGUUGAUAGGUCGGAAGUGUAAGUGCAGUAAUGCAUUGAGCUGACCGAUACUAAUAACCCGAGGGCUUGACCU